GGCGGGAGGGGGGCAGAGACACAAGCAGGAGUUGCAGGCUCCCUGCACGGAGCCCAACGCGGGACGGAUCGCGGGGCUCCAGGAUCAGGCCCUGGGCCGAAGGCGGCGCCAAACCGCUGAGCCACCCGGCUGCCCAUACUAUAGAAUUUUUUAAAGCGAACUAUAGGCCCAUAUAUGUGGCACGACCCCAUGUUGUUUAAAACACACACACACAUAUGCAUAUACACAUAGCAAAGAGUUCUGAAUGUUGCAGGACUGAUGACCUCAUCUCCGAAUCUUUGCUCCAAGAACCAUAUACAGUGACAAGAGGAUUGCAAAGCACAUCCUAACCCACACACCCACACACCAGUACCCCUUAAUCCUCCAACUCAGCUCUACUUUUUCCAUUACACAUAUCCCUGUAUAAUAAAUUCCAUACCAUUUAUAAUUAAUUGCUUUUUUGUCCCACUAAAGUUUAACAUCCACAGCGAUUUUUAAAUUCCUGGAACAAGGUAGGCCCUCAUGUUUGCCAAAUGAAUGAACUCUAGAACCGAGAUGAUGCUGCUGAGUAGCAUAUAUUCGUUUCAGAAUAUUUUUAAAAACAAAGACAAAAAUUACAGGUGAUAUUUGCGUUCUUUUCACGCCAGUAACACUUUAGCAAAAUAAAACAUCCUUUAAUGGGUAUUCCUAAAUAAUCCUUACGCGUCUGUAACUAAAAAAAUUUUAAAAUAAAUAAAUAAGUAUCUUGAACAAAUUAGACUCCAACCUCAAAGAACAGCCAACACACCCGCAGAACCCAGAGCCGAGAACGCGCCCCGGGCAUCGCGGUCGGUGUAUUGCGGCCCCGCGCUGGAAGCGUGCGCCGGAAGCGGGCGUGGCCGACCCGCGGCUUUCUGGGACUUGUAGUUCAGAGCCAUUAGGCGAGGGCGCGGGUCAGUGUCUGGAGCCCCGCUCUUCCAGGUGUCGGAUUCCACGUGGGAGGACUCUGUCCCUCCUGAGGUUCCAGUCCCAUUGGCCUUUGUACAUCCAAAGAUUUGUUGGAUUUAUUGUGAGAUAUUUCUCUACAUACUGAUAUAAGCAUCAUUAAGG
rnacentral:lncRNA from 1 species